rnacentral:rRNA from 1 species
GAUGAACGCUGGCGGCAUGCCUUACACAUGCAAGUCGAACGGCAGCACGGGUGCUUGCACCUGGUGGCGAGUGGCGAACGGGUGAGUAAUACAUCGGAACGUACCUUAUCGUGGGGGAUAACGCAGCGAAAGCUGUGCUAAUACCGCAUACGCCCUGAGGGGGAAAGCGGGGGAUCGCAAGACCUCGCGCGAUUAGAGCGGCCGAUGCCUGAUUAGCUAGUUGGUGGGGUAAAAGCCCACCAAGGCGACGAUCAGUAGCUGGUCUGAGAGGACGAUCAGCCACACUGGGACUGAGACACGGCCCAGACUCCUACGGGAGGCAGCAGUGGGGAAUUUUGGACAAUGGGGGCAACCCUGAUCCAGCAAUGCCGCGUGAGUGAAGAAGGCCUUCGGGUUGUAAAGCUCUUUUGUCAGGGAAGAAACACCGGCUCUAACACAGUCCGGGAAUGACGGUACCUGAAGAAUAAGCACCGGCUAACUACGUGCCAGCCGCCGCCGUAA